rnacentral:rRNA from 1 species
GACGAACGCUGGCGGCGUGCUUAACACAUGCAAGUCGAACGGGCCUUGUCCCCUUUUUUUUGGGGGUGGGGUUAGUGGCGAACGGGUGAGUAACACGUGAGUAACCUGCCCCUCACUUCUGGAUAACCGCUUGAAAGGGUGGCUAAUACGGGGUGUUCUGGCCUGCUCGCAUGGGUGGGUUUGGAAAGAUUCGACCGGUUUUGGUUGUUUUGGUGGGGGAUGGGCUCGCGGCCUAUCAGCUUGUUGGUGGGGUGAUGGCCUGCCAAGGCUUUGACGGGUAGCCGGCCUGAGAGGGUGGGCGGCCACACUGGGACUGAGACACGGCCCAGACUCCUACGGGAGGCAGCAGUGGGGAAUAUUGCACAAUGGGCGCAAGCCUGAUGCAGCGACGCCGCGUGAGGGAUGGAGGCCUUCGGGUUGUGAACCUCUUUCGCCAGUGAAGAAGGUCCUGCUCUUUGUGGUGGGGUUGACGGUAGCUGGGUUAAUGAAGCGCCGGCUAACUACGUG